UUUUACAUUCGGUCAUUAUUUUACAUUCACCAUUGUUGCAUUGCUAACGUGGCUAGAAGAGCUUAGUGAGAUAGCCAACAACUCACAAAAAAAAAAAAAUUGUGUUGCAAUUCCCGAACAAUCAUCAACAUGCCUAAAAGAAAGAGUGCUACCAAGGGAGAUGAGCCUGCAAGACGUUCAGCACGUUUGUCAUCUAGACCUGCGCCAAAGCCGGCGGCCAAACCCAAAAAAGCGGCAGCACCCAAAAAGCCAGUCAAAGGAAAGAAGGCAGCGGAGAACGGUGAUGCCAAGGCUGAGGUCUGAAAUAAGUCCAUUUCCCUCCCAUUUCUAGGCGAAGGUUGAAGCCGCCGGAGACGCCAAAUGAAGAACUGUUUGAAGUUGUGAUCAUUCUGUGUACUUGGUGACUGUACAGUUUAAAAUAAGUAUUUUUUACCAAGUUUUUUUUAUAUUAAAAGAUAUCAUUUAUAGUUCAUUGUGGGCUUACAUUUGACGUAAUGAAGCUGUUCCAAGGGGUUGUCACGUUCAUAUCCAUUUUUUAUGCCUUGUUGAAUACCGUCCAUAUGAAUACCGUCCAUAUCCUGUCCAAGUUUUAAAAAACCACACAAAAAAACUUCUAACCCUGUUUUUUUUACUGCUGAAUGUUAUUUUCCAACAUAAAUCUAAACAUUAAAGGCAGCUAAAGUGUGUUUCUAAAAUGUUUAAGAGGAAUAGGGUUUUUGCCACUCCUUUUAGUUUUUUAUUGUACAAGUAAUAUGAAUUAAUUACAUACCAAAUGUUUUGAAUCAACAUCAGAUCUUCUCAUUCAGGAGACAAAAGACACCGUUUGAAAGUAAUCACUAACUUGUAUUAGGUCAACACACAAAAUUAAUAAUGUGAACGUAAUCAUUUGUUCUAUUGUUUAUUUUAUUAAAUUGUUCUGUAAAAACAGUGGAAAGAGCUAUUGUGACGCCUAUGAAAUUUUAAAUGUUCUUGAAUAAAAUGAUAAAAAGGC